AUAUUUAAGUCUUCGUAGUAAAAUAUAAAUGUAAAAAUCUGUUCUUAUCAGUUUAAUAUCUGAUACGUCCCCUAUCUGGGGACCAUAUAUUAAAUGGAUUUUUCGAACAGGGAGAUGGAAAAAGAGCUUGCUCUGUCCACUCCACGCAUUGACCUGGUAUUGCAGUACCUCCAGGACCGGUGCACCCCUU